rnacentral:rRNA from 1 species
GAUGAACGCUGGCGGCGUGCCUAAUACAUGCAAGUCGAGCGAACGGACGAGAAGCUUGCUUCUCUGAUGUUAGCGGCGGACGGGUGAGUAACACGUGGAUAACCUACCUAUAAGACUGGGAUAACUUCGGGAAACCGGAGCUAAUACCGGAUGAUAUUUUGAACCGCAUGGUUCAAAAGUGAAAGACGGUCUUGCUGUCACUUAUAGAUUGAUCCGCGCUGCAUUAGCUAGUUGGUAAGGUAACGGCUUACCAAGGCAACGAUGCAUAGCCGACCUGAGAGGGUGAUCGGCAACACUGGAACUGAGACACGGAACAGACACCGACGGGAGGCAGCAGUAGGGAAUCUUCCGAAAGGGGCGAAAGGCUGACGGAGAAAAGCCGCGUGAGUGAUGAAGGUCUUAGGAUCGUAAAACUAUGUUAUUAGGGAAGAACAAAAGUGUAAGUAACUGUGCACAUCAUGACGGUACCUAAUCAGAAAGCCACGGCUAACUACGUG